CGGCGUUUGACAACGCAUUUAGAGAACGAACAUAAAACAUACAUUUUAGUAACGAAUAUAAAACUUAUAAUGUAAUGAAACAGUUGAUGUACAGAUGACACGUUAGCUAGCAAGGGACUCAAGCAUUGUAGGCAAGAGCAAUAGAAGUUGAGCCAGAGGCUGGACAUUCACGGAACUCCAUCCUGUCUAAGCGGACGAGACUGUUGUUGGAACAGUUAUAUAAUGAUCAGCAGAACUGUUACUCAAGCCAAACACUUGACACUAUACUGGCUCCCUCCUUUUUAGGUGGAAGUGACAGUGGUUGGGAUAGUUAUUUAGUUAGCAGCAGAAAACUUGAGUCAGACACUGGACAUGUACUUGCAUCCAAACUGUCUAGGUGAAAGUGACUGUGGUUGGAAUAGUUGUCUAGUAAGCUACAGAAAUAUUAUUCUAGCUAGACACUGGACAUGUCCUAACCUCCCUCCUGUUGAGGUGAAAGUGGUUGUAGAUGAAACAGUGGGACUCAAGCCAAACACUAAUCCUGUGCUGACCAACCUACUGUUUAGGUGGAAGUGACUAUGCCUGGAAAAGUUGUCAAGUUGGAAAAGUUGUCAAGUCAAGAAUCACAAGCUGCAAAGUCGGGUCAGAAAACAUGAGUUUGACGUAAGGAGUCCUCACAAAAGAAAGUAGGGAACGAUCAGCAACCUCAGCGGAGUUCCGAAAGGCGUUCAGUCCAUUCGGGAACACUACAACGUAAAUGAAGCAAAACUACUACAUUCUUUAAGACGUGGCAUAACAUCAAAUGAUUUAAAUGAACACGACCCUUUUUAUAAUACAUGAUUUAAAGUGACGUUGACAUUUAAAUGGGAUUCAUAUUGACCAUGUAUUUUAAUUAAUUAUAAAUUAAUGAUACAAUGUAAGCACAUGAUAAAUUAUGCAACAGAGAUCAUUUCAUGUUAGCAGUAUUUGAACAUGAAAUUAUGAAAUUUUAUGAUUUUAACCCU